AGUUUCCUCCUUUGUGAAAUUCCUGAUCUAAUCUUUUGUCCAUCUUUUUAAAAUUAAUGUUUUUUUCUUAUAUUUGCAGGUGUUUUUGUAGAUAUUGGAGGCCAGUUCUUUUGUCCCAUUGCAGGACAAAAAGUAAAUUCCAGAGUUCUCUGUGGAAUGUGGAUUAUUUGAGAGAAAAUGAUGAAAUAGUAGUAAAGAACCUGAAGACCACAACAUGCCUCUUGGGAAUACCGAAGGAGGUGAGCGGUUCGCGGUACUACUCCCUCGGGGCCGACGCCUGGGCAUGCGCACUCGCCACGGCGGAUUGGAAGCGAAAGCACGGGUCUCUGGGACCUGUCAAGCUGGUUCAGACAUCUGGGGAAUUAACGCGUCCCGCCCAUCUCUAGCACCGCGCCUCCGCCCUUGUUCCCUCUCCGCUUCCAGCUCCUACGAGUGAAAGCCUCUACAGGGUUUGAAUGAAACGUGUGUGGGUUUAGUGAGUCGUAAACCACCAGGGAAUCCAGUCUCUCCCCCACAAACCAGCCUCUCUCGGAGGAGGCACAGGAGGGGGAGGAGGCGGGGAGCCGAACGCUGGGUCUCGCCCGCGCGCGCAGCGACUGGAGCGGUGGGGAGAGGCCGGGCCACCUCCCCCUUUCGGGCCAUGCACCGCCUCGCCCGCGGCGGUUCCAGGCACCACACUCUCCGCCCGGCUAGCGCCUGCUGUCGCAGAAACAAGCUCCUUCGGCCGCCGACACCAUCCACAGAGGAGCAGCGCCCGCCCUCCCCACNNNNNNNNNNNNNNNNNNNCCCGCCCUCCCCACCCCCACCACCGAUUCCCUUGUCCGCGAAGACACGCCGCCCAGCAGCCCGCGCCGCCCCCUGGUCAACUUUGAGCAGGAGGAGAAGCAACUUUGACAGUGGCCGCGGGUUUGGAAUCCCGCUUCUCCUCGGCAGCAGUAGCCUCGCAAGUCGCUGGGGUUAGGUGGGGCAAGUUUCCGUGGCGCAUCUGCGCGGCGUCUGGCUGUUUGCAACCUGUUUCCAGAGAGCCGGGAGCGGGAUUGUGGCUGCCAGUCAUCUGAAGAAGGGCAACUUGUUUUUCUCUCCCUUUAGCGACCUCGGCUUACAACUGGAUAAAGCGGUAUUGAAAGGGUGUAGAAAGGCAGAGCAACUGUUACCAACUGGAUAAAGCGGUAUGGGAAGGAUGUAAAUAGGCAGAGCAACUGUUACCAAGAAGGCAACCACCCAAAGGCAGGGAGGAACGUGGGGCUUGGUCCGGGCUUCUCCCAGUCGCAACAUUAAUCAACAGUCAGGUGUUGGUUGCAACUUUUCAAGGUCAGCCACCGGGAGCAGCAAUUCCCUCUCUGAACCUUGGAGAUACGCUGCGCUCGGGUUGGAUUUGGCUGAGAAAUGCACGGAAAGCCAAAAGAGGAAGGAUUGUAGAGGGGGAGGGUUUGUGACCCAAGACCCAUCCCCCAAAGCUCCCUGUAAUCUCCCGUCCCCCACUGCCGGGGCGGGGGUGAGUUGUAACAUGUGUCUAACUCUCAGCAGCAACUUAGGCAGCAGGUGUCGGUCCUAACCAGGAGCCGCGGCUACC
ensembl:lncRNA